rnacentral:rRNA from 1 species
UAGGGAAUCUUCGGCAAUGGACGGAAGUCUGACCGAGCAACGCCGCGUGAGUGAAGAAGGUUUUCGGAUCGUAAAGCUCUGUUGUAAGAGAAGAACGAGUGUGAGAGUGGAAAGUUCACACUGUGACGGUAACUUACCAGAAAGGGACGGCUAACUACGUGCCAGCAGCCGCGGUAAUACGUAGGUCCCGAGCGUUAUCCGGAUUUAUUGGGCGUAAAGCGAGCGCAGGCGGUUAGAUAAGUCUGAAGUUAAAGGCUGUGGCUUAACCAUAGUACGCUUUGGAAACUGUUUAACUUGAGUGCAGAAGGGGAGAGUGGAAUUCCAUGUGUAGCGGUGAAAUGCGUAGAUAUAUGGAGGAACACCGGUGGCGAAAGCGGCUCUCCGGUCUGUAACUGACGCUGAGGCUCGAAAGCGUGGGGAGCAAACAGGAUUAGAUACCCUGGUAGUCCACGCCGUAAACGAUGAGUGCUAGGUGUUGGGUCCUUUCCGGGACUCAGUGCCGCAGCUAACGCAUUAAGCACUCCGCCUGGGGAGUACGACCGCAAGGUUG